GACGAACGCUGGCGGCGUGCUUAACACAUGCAAGUCGAACGGAAAGGCCCUGCUUGCAGGGUGCUCGAGUGGCGAACGGGUGAGUAACACGUGGGUGAUCUGCCCCUUACUUUGGGAUAAGCCUGGGAAACUGGGUCUAAUACUGGAUAGGACCAUGCUGUAGGUGGUGUGGUGGAAAGAUUAGUUUCGGUAAGGGAUGAGCUCGCGGCCUAUCAGCUUGUUGGUGGGGUAAUGGCCUACCAAGGCGUCGACGGGUAGCCGGCCUGAGAGGGUGGACGGCCACAUUGGGACUGUGAGACGGCCCAGACUCCUACGGGAGGCAGCAGUGGGGAAUAUUGCACAAUGGGCGCAAGCCUGAUGCAGCGACGCCGCGGGGGGGAUGACGGCCUUCGGGUUGUAAACUCCUUUCAGCCAUGACGAAGCCCUUGUGGUGACGGUAGUGGUAGAAGAAGCACCGGCUAACUACGUG
rnacentral:rRNA from 1 species